CGGCUUAGGCCGCCCAUUGUGACUCGCUUGUAGGCGUGUUAUAUGAAGGUCUGGUUAUGAAAUGGGUACAUAGUUCAAUAGUAAUAUCCUCUAAAACGCUCUGGUGGCAAACAAACUUUACUGCCCUGUUUUCAAUUGUCCACAUGGCUGGGAGAACCUGUUCAAGUAACGUUGGCUAGCUAACAGCCAUGGAGGAGGGUGAUAGGAUAGCAGCCCCAACUGUCAGUGAGAGAGUAAGUUAUUCUGGAUAGGGCAGGUACUUUUGUUUAGUUCCUGUCCCUAGAAGUGAGGAUGGAGAUAAUAGUAACAUAAUAGUAACAGACUAUAAUGAAGUCUGUUUCUUGUGAGGUUUUCUGUCCUCAAAUAAAGAGAGCUAUGAAACCUGUCUACAUAUGAAGAGGUCCUAAUGGAGAGCAGUGGUUCUCAGUCCUGGUCCUGGGGACUCAAAGGGGUGCACAUUUUUGUUUUUGCCUUAGCACUGCACAGCUGAUUCAAAUGGUCAACUCAUCAUCACGCUUCAAGUGGUAUUUAUGUAUUCAUUUGUGAUGCUAUCCUUAAUAUGAUCCUGUUAUUGUCACAUGCUACACAUGCACAUAUGUGUGCCCAUGCAUCUAUCAUUCCAAUGUUAUCAUGAUUUGUUAUCAGGAAUAUUAUACUUUAGUAAUCCACAAUGACUUGGUGAUGUAAAAGUCUAAUUACAUUGUCUUCCAUAUUCCUACAGAUGCCUUGUAACUGGAGAUUCCUUCAAAACGAUUGCCUACAGUUACUGUGUAGGGCACUGCAAGGUUGGGUGACCAGGGCCAUCUAGGACUGCCUCCUGGAGGAAUUCAGGUGUGUGAAGGCUACCUGUGUCCUGCAUAACUUGGCCAGGUCGCAGUUGCAAAUGAGAACUUGUUCUCAACUAGCCUACCUGGUUAAAUAAAGGUGAAAUAAAAAAUAACUUUGGGGCGGCAGGUAGCAUAGUGGUUAGAGCAUUGGGCCAGUAACCGAAAGGUUGCUAGAUCAAAUCCCUGAGCUGACAAGGUAAAAAUCUGUCAUUCUGCCCCUGAACAAGGCAGUUAACCCACUGUUAACUAGCCCUUCUUACAUCAGCUGAUAUAUCAAAGUGCUGUACAGAAACCCAGCCACCCUAGGCCGUCAUUGUAAAUAAUUUUGUUCUUAACUGGCUUGCCUAGUUAAAUAACAAAAUAACUUCAUGAGGAUGGACACAAGGCUCUGCAGGAUGUUUCAAGGAUGGGGUCCAGCAACGCAGCAAGAGGGAGAUCUUCACCUCCUACUUCUUCGAAGAGGGUGUUGUUCCCUGGCUAUGCACAAACCAUAGACUAUGCACAACCAAAUGCUCUUUUAAGAGUCAUUCACAUUGCAAUAAGAGUGUUCUUCCAUUUCCAUUACUUACUGCAGUUAUUCAAUUCCCAGUUUCUCUCACUUUGAUUUCUACUUCUCAGGUGAGGGUGCUGUUUAGGUAGGGGUGUGAUGUCUGUACAAAAAUAAAACAGGUCAUUUUAAAUCACUCAUAUUGAAAACAUGUAGAACAAUUAGACACCCUAUAACCCACAUCUACACACUCAUGUAUCAAUCUGAUUGAUGGAUUGUGUUGCUCAGGUGUAUAACUGGCUCCUUCCACCUUCAAAGAAUAGGCAAGAGGGCCAACCAUGGAGAAUAGUAAGACAAUUCAUUGUUUCUAUAACUACGCUAUAUUGUUUGUCCUCGUGUGUCCGUUCAUGUUUUUCAGCAUAAAGUACUCAGCAGCCACUUUGUGUGGUGUGGACACCAGGUGAGGCCACACACAGAUUAUUGUUCAACAAAUCAAUUGUAUUUAUAUAGCCCUUACAUCAGCUGAUAUAUCAAAGUGCUGUAUAGAAACCCAGCCUUAAACCCCAAACAGCAAGCAAUGCAGGUGUAGAAGCACGGCAGCUAGGAAAAACUCCCUAGAAAGGCCAAAACUUAGGAAGAAACCUAGAGAGGAACCAGGCUAUGAGGGGUGGCCAGUCCUCUUCUGGCUGUGCCGGGUGGAGAUUAUAACAGAACAUGGCCAAGAUGUUCAAAUGUUCAUAAAUGACCAGCAUGGUCAAAUAAUAAUAAUCACAGUAGUUGUCGAGGGUGCAACAAGUCAGCACCUCAGGAGUAAAUGUCAGUUGGCUUUUCAUAGCCAAUCAUUGAGAGUAUCUCUACCGCUCCUGCUGUCUCUAUAGAGAGUUGAAAACAGCAGGUCUGGGACAGGUAGCACGUCCGGUGAACAGGUCAGGGUUCCAUAGCCGCAGGCAGAACAGUUGAAACUGGAGCAGCAGCACGGCCAGGUGGACUGGAGGAGCAAGGAGUCAUCAUGCCAGGUAGUCCUGAGGCAUGGUCCUAGGGCUCAGGUCCUCCGAGAGAAAGAAUUAGAGAGAGCAUACUUAAAUUCACACAGGACACCGGAUAAGACAGGAGAAAUACUCCAGAUAUAACAGACUGACCCUAUUCCCCCGACACAAACUACUGCAGCAUGAAUACUGGAGGCUGAGACAGGAGUCAGGAGACACUGUGGUCCCAUCUGAUGAUAACCCCGGACAGGGCCAAACAGGCAGGAUAUGACCCCACCGACUUUGCCAGAGCACAGCCCCCACACCACUAGAGGGAUAUCUUCAACCACCAACUUACCAUCCUGAGACAAGGCCGAGUAUAGCCCACAAAGAUCUCUCUCUCUUUCACUUCGUCCCUUUCUCCUCUUCUCCAUCUGCAUCUCCUCUUCUCCUGCAUCUGAACUGGCUGCAUAGAAUUGUAAUUAGUGAUUAAUGUUUUACGGACUCCUGAGAGAACCAGCAAACCAGGCUGUAGUCUUGUGAAACAGUGGAUGUGAAGAAUCUAGCUAGCUGAAGCAUUUACUGCAAAGUUUUAUGUAUAAUUUUGGCUUGCUGAUAUUUUCCAUGCAAUGCAGCUAACUAUUUUCUUGCUUGUUGUGUAGUGGAGGAUAAAAAAUACCACAGGCAUACAGGAUGUAUAGCUAGCUAUGUAGCCGAUCUGUGUAGGGAACCUUAAAUAUUAGGUCAGAACCUAGCUAUCAUAGCCGGUUGUAUCGACUUAAAACAUUAAUGACACUAAUGAAGCCUUUGGAUUGAGUAUAAUAUAACUUUAUUGUGCCAAAGAUGCAAGUUGUAAAUACAUGUUAUUACCAAGCAUUAGAUCCCCACAUUGUAGCCUGUACAUUGAAUAUAUUCACUGAUCAUUUACUCUACCUUGGCAAAUAAAGGUGCAGUUCAUGUAUGAAUGUGUUGGAGACAUUCUUUUUCAGUCAUAUCCAAUACCAGGCGUAUCAAACUCCAGUCUUUGAAUGAUGCUGUAUCUACCUGCAUGUAUGUAUUACAAUUAUACACUUUAAAAGUGUUUACCAAUCCUGGUCCUGGGACAUCAAUGGUUACAUACUGUAACUAUGCAAGACUAGAAAUAUGAUUUAACUAGUUAAAGAUUGAUUUGUAAUUCAUAUAUACAGAAUAAAAUAAACAGUACACUAAA